rnacentral:ncRNA from 2 species
GAAAGAUGGUGAACUAUGCCUGAUCAGGUGGAAGUCAGAGAAAACCCUGAUGGAGGACUGAAGCAGUUCUGACGUGCAAAUCGAUUAUCAGAAUUGGGCAUAGGGGCGAAAGACCAACCGGACGGUUCAAUAGC